rnacentral:rRNA from 1 species
UACGUAGGGUGCGAGCGUUGUUCGGAAUCAUUGGGCGUAAAGCGCGUGUAGGUGGUUAGAUAAGUCGAUUGUGAAAUCCCUGGGCUCAACCGAGGAAGUGCAGUCGAAACUAUCUAGCUAGAGGACGGCAGAGGAAGGUGGAAUUCCAAGUGUAGAGGUGAAAUUCGUAGAUAUUUGGAGGAAUACCUGUGGCGAAGGCGGCCUUCUGGACCGGUCCUGACACUGAGACGCGAAAGCGUGGGGAGCAAACAGG